rnacentral:rRNA from 1 species
AAACCCCCUCGCCGAAAGACUAAGGUUUCCUGAUCAACGCUAAUCGGAUCAGGGUAAGUCGGGUCCUAAGGCUCAGCCGAAGGGCGAUGCCGAUGGCAGAAACGGUUAAUAUUCCGUUACUACCUCCAGGAGUGAUGUGGAGACGCAGUAGUGACAAUGCCGCCAUCUGACGGAAUAGAUGGUUGAAGGGUGUAGAUGUUGAUCUUGGCAGGCAAAUCCACCAUGAGAAUCGAACCUGAUAGUAUGCCGCGUCCCUCGGGACAAGGCAAUAGUGCAUGUAAUCAUGCUGCCAAGAAAAUCCGCUAAACAAAAUCCUGUAGGUACCCGUACCGUAAACGGACACACGUAGUCGGGAUGAAUAUUCUAAGGCGCUUGAGUGAUUCACGGUUAAGGAACUAGGCAAACUGACCCUGUAACUUCGGGAUAAAGGGUCCCUACCCGGUGACGGGAGGGCGCAGAGAAUAGGUCCAGGCAACUGUUUAACAAAAACACAGGGCUGUGCUAAAUCGAAAGAUCCUGUAUACAGCCUGACACCUGCCCGGUGCUGGAAGGUUAAGAGGAGACGUCAUCGUUGAGAGAAGCGUUGAAUUGAAGCCCCAGUAAACGGCGGCCGUAACUAUAACGGUCCUAAGGUAGCGAAAUUCCUUGUCGGGUAAGUUCCGACCUGCACGAAUGGUGUAAUGAUCUGGACGCUGUCUCAACCGUGAGCUCAGUGAAAUUGUAGUAUCGGUGAAGAUGCCGAUUACCCGCGAUGGGACGAAAAGACCCCGUGAACCUUUACUAUAGCUUAACAUUGAAUUUGGGUAAUUGAUGUGUAGGAUAGGCCGGAGGCUUUGAAGCGGGCACGCCAGUGUCCGUGGAGCCGCUGUUGAAAUACGGCCCUUUGAUUAUUUGAGUUCUAACCCGUUGUUGCGGGGACACUGUUUGGUGGGUAGUUUGACUGGGGUGGUCGCCUCCAAAAGUGUAACGGAGGCUUCUAAAGGUGCCCUCACGACGAUUGGUAACCGUCGGCAGAGUGUAAUGGCAUAAGGGCGCUUGACUGGGAGACUUACAAGUCGAUCAGGUAGGAAACUAGAGCAUAGUGAUCCGGUGUUUCUGUAUGGAAAGGACAUCGCUCAAAGGAUAAAAGGUACUCCGGGGAUAACAGGCUGAUCCCUCCCAAGA